UCAAUAACAUGGAAAAUCAAU
rnacentral:snRNA from 1 species